CAGCCGCCGCGGGAAUACGUAGGGUGCGAGCGUUAAUCGGAAUUACUGGGCGUAAAGCGUGCGCAGGCGGUUAUAUAAGACAGAUGUGAAAUCCCCGGGCUCAACCUGGGACCUGCAUUUGUGACUGUAUAGCUAGAGUACGGUAGAGGGGGAUGGAAUUCCGCGUGCAGCAGUGAAAUGCGUAGAUAUGCGGAGGAACACCGAUGGCGAAGGCAAUCCCCUGGACCUGUACUGACGCUCAUGCACGAAAGCGUGGGGAGCAAACAGGAUUAGAUACCCGCGUAGUCCCUGUCUCUUAUAC
rnacentral:rRNA from 1 species